rnacentral:rRNA from 1 species
GACGAACGCUGGCGGCGUGCUUAACACAUGCAAGUCGAACGGAAAGGCCCUGCUUUUGUGGGGUGCUCGAGUGGCGAACGGGUGAGUAACACGUGAGUAACCUGCCCUUGACUUUGGGAUAACUUCAGGAAACUGGGUCUAAUACCGGAUAGGAUCUCCUGCUGCUUGGUGGGGGUUGGAAAGUUUCGGCGGUUGGGGAUGGACUGGCGGCUUAUCAGCUUGUUGGUGGGGUAGUGGCUUACCAAGGCUUUGACGGGUAGCAGGCCUGAGAGGGUGACCGGCCCCAUUGGGACUGAGAUACGGCACAGCCUCCUACGGGAGGCAGCAGUGGGGAAUAUUGCACAAUGGGAGGAAGCCUGAUGCAGCAACGCCGCGUGCGGGAUGACGGCAUUCGGGUUGUAAACCGCUUUCGCCUGUGACGAAGCGUGAGUGACGGUAAUGGGUAAAGAAGCACCGGCUAACUACGUG